AACGUAGGAGACAAACGUUUAUCCGGAGUUACUGGGCGUAAAGGGCGUGUAGGUGGUUUCGUAAGUCUGGCGUGAAAUAUCUCGGCUUAACCGAGGCAGGUCGUCGGAUACUGCGGGACUAGAGGACGGUAGAGGCGUGUGGAAUUCCGGGUGUAGUGGUGAAAUGCGUAGAGAUCCGGAGGAACACCAGUGGCGAAGGCGACACGCUGGGCCGUACCUGACACUGAUGCGCGACAGCAUGGGGAGCAAACAGG
rnacentral:rRNA from 1 species